rnacentral:rRNA from 1 species
GUCGAGAAUCUUCCGCAAUGCGCGAAAGCGUGACGGAGCGACACCGCGUGAUGGAUGAAGUCCUUCGGGGCGUAAACAUCUUUUAUAAAGGAGGAAAUUUUUGACGUUACUUCAUGAAUAAGGGGCUCCCAAUCUCGUGCUAGCAGGAGCGGUCAUAAGAGAGCCGCAAGCGUUAUCCGGAAUCAUUGGGAGUAAAGGGUGCGUAGGAGGUUUGAUUAUUCUCCUGUUAAAACUUCGAGCUUAACUCGAAAAGAGCGGUGGAAACGGUAAAACUAGAGUCUGUGAGAGGUGUGUGGAACUCAUGGUGUAGGGGUGAAAUGCGUUGAUAUCAUGGGGAACACCAAGAGCGAAGGCAGCACACUGGCACAUCACUGACACUGAGGCACGAAACCUAAGGUAGCGAAUGGGAUUAGAUACCCCAGUAGUCC